UANCCAUUGGUUUUAGGNACCAAAAAACUGGUGCAACUCCAGAUAAAAGUA
rnacentral:tRNA from 1 species